rnacentral:rRNA from 1 species
AACUGGGGAACCUGCCCCAUAGUCUGGGAUACCACUUGGAAACAGGUGCUAAUACCGGAUAAGAAAGCAGAUCGCAUGAUCAGCUUUUAAAAGGCGGCGUAAGCUGUCGCUAUGGGAUGGCCCCGCGGUGCAUUAGCUAGUUGGUAAGGUAAAGGCUUACCAAGGCGAUGAUGCAUAGCCGAGUUGAGAGACCGAUCGGCCACAUUGGGACUGAGACACGGCCCAA